rnacentral:rRNA from 1 species
UCUGUUUAAAUAACUGGUGAAGAAAGGGCCGGGCAAGACCGGUGCCAGCCGCCGCGGUAAUACCGGCGGCUCGAGUGGUGGCCACUAUUACUGGGCUUAAAGCGUUCGUAGCUGGUUUGUUAAGUCCCUGGGGAAAUCUUCCGGCUUAACCGGAAGGCGUCUCAGGGAUACUGGCAGACUAGGGACCGGGAGAGGUGAGGGGUACUCCAGGGGUAGGAGUGAAAUCCUGUAAUCCUUGGGGGACCACCUGUGGCGAAGGCGCCUCACCAGAACGGCUCCGACAGUGAGGGACGAAAGCUGGGGGAGCAAACCGGAUUAGAUACCCGGGUAGUCCCAGCCGUAAACGAUGCGCGUUAGGUGUAUCAGUGACCACGAGUCACUGAGGUGCCGAAGAGAAAUCGUGAAACGUGCCGCCUGGGAAGUACGGUCGCAAGGCUGAAACUUAAAGGAAUUGGCGGGGGAGCACCACAACAGGUGGAGCCUGCGGUUUAAUCGGACUCAACGCCGGGAAACUCACCAGUUAAGACAGCUGAAUGAUAGUCGGGCUGAAGACUCUACUUGACUAGCUGAGAGGAGGUGCAUGGCCGUCGUCAGUUCGUACUGUGAAGCAUCCUGUUAAGUCAGGCAACGAGCGAGACCCACGCCAACAGUUGCUAGCUCGUCCUCCGGGAUGGAGAGGACACUGUUGGGACCGCCUCUGCUAAAGAGGAGGAAGGAAUGGGCAACGGUAGGUCAGCAUGCCCCGAAUUAACUGGGCUACACGCGGGCUACAAUGGGUGGGACAAUGGGUAUCGACACCGAAAGGUGAAGGCAUCUCCUAAACCCAUCCGUAGUUCGGAUUGUGGGU